UACGGAGGGUGCGAGCGUUGUCCGGAAUCAUUGGGCGUAAAGGGCGCGUAGGUGGCGGGACAAGCGUGCGGUGAAAGCUCGGGGCUCAACCCCGAGUCGGCCGUGCGAACUGUUUUGCUUGAGCACUGUAGAGGCAGGCGGAAUUCCGGGUGUAGCGGUGGAAUGCGUAGAGAUCCGGAAGAACACCGGUGGCGAAGGCGGCCUGCUGGGCAGUAGCUGACACUGAGGCGCGCCAGCGUGGGGAGCAAACAGG
rnacentral:rRNA from 1 species